ensembl:lncRNA
GCACAGCCGUGGUGCCUCUCUGUCCCACCAGGCCUCCCAUCCUAAGGCCAUGGUGGGAUGGACAGCAGGAGAGAAAGAAGUCAGGCAGGAGGAGCUGCAGCCAUGACCAAGCUUUUCUCCAGCUUCCUGCUCACACUGUCUCCAGAUCUUGUGUACUUCAACAAGGAUGAAAUCACUAAAGUUUGGGAUUCUGUGUCUGAGUGUUAUCACCAAGACCUGCUGCUGAAGAAGAGAGUUGGGCUGAUGGGCCUGGGUACCCUCCACAUCAUGAAAAGACCCAUCUGGCACGGAGAAGGAGAAGGUUUCAUGGCAGACAGUCUGGAGUUUAAUCUGAACAAGCCAUUUCUGAUGGGGGAGAAGCUCCUCCAUGGGAAAAGCCCCGUGUCUGGGCUCUCCAAAGCGGACGAGUUGGUCUGUGCUGAGGUGGCCUUGCGCCUGCACAAGUCCAAAGCCACCAUCAUUACGUGCGUCAAGGCCACGCUGAAGAUCUGUGAGUGGGCCUUGUCCAGUGGCCAGAACUUGGACUUUGUCUUCAAGGACAUCGGCGUCCUGGUCUGCCGGGGAAAACACGUGGCCAUGAGGUUCUUUGAAGGCUUGGUCCGAGAGGUGGCUCAGUCCCAGAGCGUGGCAGACAGUUUGCUCCAGUCACCAAAUCUGAAGCCGUUAUUCAUCGCCCACACGGAAAAGGACAUUUCCCAGUUUCCUCCUGGAGGUGUCUUUGUGCUGCCGCACUUUGUGCAGGCAGAUGGGAAGUCCCAGCCACAUCCUAUAAGUGUUUACCUACAAGGCACUGGCACAACAUGCAAAACCAACACCGAGCACCAAACGACUCCGGGUCCCUCUUUUUCUGAAUGGGGACCCAAGGAAGCAGUGGGACAGCCCUCAGGGAAGGAGACUGGGCUGGGACAGGAAGGCUGGGACAUCCCUCAUGUCCAAAGCAUUCUGGAGAUGCAGUUGAGAGGAGCUUCUUCUUUUUCUUCUUCAGGAAACCUUCCCAGCCAACGCCUCCUUCUUCGUCCGCGCCUUUCUCCAAGUCGGAUAUGUGAUGUGAAAGUGACGGGAAGAGAAAAGAAAAAGGCUGAUGGUGGAGUGCAGAGAGAGAGUUUGCUGCCUCCAAUUGAGAACUCUGUGAAGAAGGGCAGAGCCGCCGAGGAGAUGGAAGCAGCCAAAGCUGGGCUGGCAGCUCCCACCAGGCAGGGAAAACGUGUCAAGCUUCCAUCCCUGGCAGAGAAGGGGGGCCUGGAGAAGGCUGCUGCAUUCUCUCCUGGAGGAUUUGAAAGGCUAAGGAAGGAGAGGGUGGCUGCUGUGGCAGGGGUGGCUGCUGCUUUAUCCCCAGAAGGGACAAAGGAGAAGAAGACACUGUCCCCUCAGAGAAGACCACAGCCAAGGACCCCACGAGCAAAGCAGGUCCUGCUAAACCUGCAGCCAUACAGAAUUGCCCGGGAGCAGUGCAUGAAGGCCUUGCAGAUGAACCAGUUACGGAAAUGGUCCAACGACGAUCCCCUCACCCUAGGUGACAGCCUCAGGCAGGACGAGGCAGGAGGGACACAAGCUUCUGGAUCUAACCUGAGCUUGGUGAAGAAGCUGGAGGUCCACGAAGAGACAGCAACAGAACUGGGACAUGGGGACAACCACAUGGCACCAUGGAAAAAGGAAUAAAGAC